CCGGACCCCACUGCUAUCGGGAUAGGACUAAGACAUGCUAGUUGAGCGCUUCCAGCCAAUACGGGAGCGCAGCGCACAGCUCAGUAACACGUGGCUAAUCUGCCCUUGGGACCGGAACACCCCCGGGAAACUGGGGCUAAUUCUCGAUAGGUGAAGAACUCUGGAAUGAGUCUUCACCAAAAAGACGUUUACGUUAUGCUCGUAGGCGUCGCCCAAGGAUGAGGCCGCGACCGAUCAGGUUGUUGGUGAGGUAAUGGCUCACCAAGCCUUUUACCGGUGCGGGCCGUGAGAGCGGGAGCCCGGAGAUGGGCACUGAGACAAGGGCCCAGGCCCUACGGGGCGCAGCAGUCGCGAAAACUUUGCAAUACACGAAAGUGUGACAGGGCUAUCCCGAGUGCCAUCCGCUGAGGAAGGCUUUUACCCAGUCUAGAACGCUGGGGGAAUAAGGAGAGGGCAAGUCUGGUGUCAGCCGCCGCGGUAAUACCAGCUCUCCGAGUGGUGUGGAUGUUUAUUGGGCCUAAAAGCAUCCGUAGCUGGCUGAGUUAGUCCCUUGUUAAAUCCACCGAAUUAAUCGUUUGGAUUUGCGGGGGAUACUGCUCGGCUAGGGGACGAGAGAGGCAGACGGUAUUUCUGGGGUAGGGGUGAAAUCCUAUAAUCCCAGGAGGACCCACCAGUGGCGAAAGCUGUCUGCUAAAACGCGCCCGACCGGUGAGGGAUGAAAGCUUGGGGGAGCGAACCCGG
rnacentral:rRNA from 1 species